GGUGCUUGGAUUUUAAGGCAGCAGCUUGCCGAUCCUCCCAGCUGAAUAAAGCCCUUCCUUCUACAACUUGGUGUCUGAGAGGUUUUGUCUGCGGCUCGUCCUGCUACAUUUCUUGGUCCCCUGACCGGGAAUCGAGGUAACUGAGGGAUGGCCGAGGCAGCCCCUUAGGCAGCUUAGGCCUGCCCUGUGGAGCAUCCCUGCAGGGGACUCUGGCCAGCCUGAGUGAUGCGAUCCAAAGAGCACUCCUGGGUAGGAAAUUGCCUGGGUGGAACGCCUCACCAGAACAGCACGUAGCAGGCCCCCGUGGAGGAUUAACACAGUGGCUGAACACCGGGAAGGAACUGGCACUUGGAGUCCGGACAUCUGAAACUUGGACUGUGAAUGCAGCCCAUGAAAAAGAGGGUUUUCGGAAGCUUGACAUUUAUGAGGGUGAGGAGUUGACAAGCCGACAUCAGUCUCCAGAGUGAAUCCAAGGAGUGGACCCAAGACAUUUGUGUUCUGUGAUGUGGUGGCAUGUUACCUGUCAUCUCUGAUGCAUAACUCCUAAAGUGUUUGCGUCUGGGGCAGUUGUACAGAUUGCAAAGGAUAAUACUCAAGAUGUCCUCCAAGGCCAACUACUCAUCAGUUUAUUCAUAACUCCCAAGAUGGUCGUGGGCCACUUCCAAGAUGGUGGCAAGAGUCGUAUUCUCUGACCUGGGGUUCUUGGUCUCAUGGAUUCCAAGGAAUGGAAUCUUGCGCCAUGUGUCCAAAGAAGAAGGAAGAAGAAAGGGGAUAUAAUGAGAAUGAGGAGCGUCAGAUAAUUAGGCAGCAGUCCAACAAUUAGGUUUUGUGGAACUUUUACUAUGUCAUCUAUUUAUUGGAAUUCCCUCUGGAUACCAGGACCCCCUCCAGCAGAGCUUAAAGUUAUAGUUACAGGAAGUACAAAUUCCGUA
rnacentral:lncRNA from 1 species